CGGCACGGUGAGUAACACGUAUCCAACCUGCCGUCUACUCUUGGACAGCUUCUGAAAGGAAGAUUAAUACAAGAUGGCAUCAUGAGUCCGCAUGUUCACAUGAUUAAAGGUAUUCCGGUAGACGAUGGGGAUGCGUUCCAUUAGAUAGUAGGCGGGGUAACGGCCCACCUAGUCUUCGAUGGAUAGGGGUUCUGAGAGGAAGGUCCCCCACAUUGGAACUGAGACACGGUCCAGACUCCUACGGAAGGCAGCAG
rnacentral:rRNA from 1 species